GUGCACGCUGAAUCGUAGGUCUCUCUUAUAAAAUAGAGCGAUCUUGAUCUAAAGUGCAUAGAUUAAGAGCUGUUUAAUCAGCAAGCAGCCAGACAACUGCUGAGAUGGAUCCACAGAUUAACGGCCUACUAAUGCUGUUUGUCUACUAAUGCCGUCUUACAUUU